GAAAAACCUUACCUACCCUUGACAUGUCCGGAAUCCUGCAGAGAUGCGGGAGUGCCCGAAAGGGAAUCGGAACACAGGUGCUGCAUGGCUGUCGUCAGCUCGUGUCGUGAGAUGUUGGGUUAAGUCCCGCAACGAGCGCAACCCUUAUCAUUAGUUGCUACGCAAGGGCACUCUAAUGAGACUGCCGGUGACAAACCGGAGGAAGGUGGGGAUGACGUCAAGUCCUCAUGGCCCUUAUGGGUAGGGCUUCACACGUCAUACAAUGGUCGGUACAGAGGGUUGCCAAGCCGCGAGGUGGAGCCAAUCCCAGAAAGCCGAUCGUAGUCCGGAUUGUUCUCUGCAACUCGAGAGCAUGAAGUCGGAAUCGCUAGUAAUCGCGGAUCAGCAUGUCGCGGUGAAUACGUUCCCGGGUCUUGUACACACCGCCCGUCACAACCAUGGGAGGAUGAAGUAGGUAGCCUAACCGCAAGGGGGGCGCUACCACGUGUG
rnacentral:rRNA from 1 species